UACGUAGGGUGCAAGCGUUAUCCGGAAUUAUUGGGCGUAAAGGGCUCGUAGGCGGUUUGUCGCGUCUGCUGUGAAAACUGGAGGCUCAACCUCCAGCCUGCAGUGGGUACGGGCAGACUAGAGUGCGGUAGGGGAGAUUGGAAUUCCUGGUGUGGCGGUGGAAUGCGCAGAUAUCGGGAAGAACACCCGUGGCGAAGGCGGCUCUCUGGGACGGUACUGACGCUGAGACGCGAAAGCGUGGGGAGCGAACAGG
rnacentral:rRNA from 1 species